rnacentral:rRNA from 1 species
CCUACGGGUGGCAGCAGUGAGGAAUAUUGGUCAAUGGACGCAAGUCUGAACCAGCCAUGCCGCGUGCAGGAAGACGGCUCUAUGAGUUGUAAACUGCUUUUGUACGAGGGUAAACGCAGAUACGCGUAUCUGUCUGAAAGUAUCGUAAGAAUAAGGAUCGGCUAACUCCGUGCCAGCAGCCGCGGUAAUACGGAGGAUUCAAGCGUUAUCCGGAUUUAUUGGGUUUAAAGGGUGCGUAGGCGGUCGGAUAAGUUAGAGGUGAAAUCCCGAGGCUCAACUUCGGAAUUGCCUCUGAUACUGUUCGUCUAGAGAGUAGUUGCGGUAGGCGGAAUGUAUGGUGUAGCGGUGAAAUGCUUAGAGAUCAUAUAGAACACCGAUUGCGAAGGCAGCUUACCAAGCUACUUCUGACGUUGAGGCACGAAAGCGUGGGGAGCAAACAGGAUUAGAUACCCGGGUAGUC